GUAUACAAAGGAAAAACUGAGUAAGAAACAUAAAGCCAACGUCAAUUAGAAAUACAGGGAUGAAUACCAGGGGAAACUCGAAGAAGAGUUUGCCAAUAUACAGUAUCGCAGUGACCAUGAUGGACCAAACAAUCCAACCACAGCCAGACCCAGAGGAUCCACGGAACACCUUCCCUAAACCAAGUCUGUCUGAGGCCCAGGAUGGCACCAGGAACAGACCACAAUAUAAUCCAUCUCUAUCCCCGGGUGGCUCUCAGUGGAUUCGACAAACUAAACUAUGAGUGGCAUGGUCCAUGCCUUCAGCGGAGUUUCAAUUGCUUGCUCUGUGAUCCUGCCCUUGGUUAAUCCAAUCCACUUAACUAUAGGAUGGGCCCUGCUUGUUGACUCUGCCAGGGGAGCAAUUUGUAAAUCAGAAAGUGCUGCCCGUCUGAACACUCUGCAUCUCUCAAAACAACAAGAGGAAAAAAAACGUGGCCUGUUUUCUGAAAAACUACAGCAGAUUUCCCCGCAGGGUCUCUGGCCAGUCUUCUCCUCCUUUCUCCAUCCUAACCUGAAUUUGACUUUUUUUUUUUUCAAUUCCAUAAUAAUGACUAAAGGGAACGCUAAUCAGCAUCCUCUGUCCACAGCAGUAAUACUGCACUUUGGGACUGAAAUCUGAACCGUUUAUCCAAUAAGGGGUUCUGGUCCAGCCCAGAGAAGCUAAGAUACACCUUGUUACCUUCGGCUUCAUUUAUUCACAUCUGCUGAAUAAACAAAUGUCAGCAGGAACAUAACUCUGAUCCCCCCCCCCCCCCCCGAGCCUCCUCUCACUGGCUUUCAAAACUGUCUGGUGAUUAUAAGGGAAACAAUUUUGAAUAAAAAGGUUGCACUAUAAAGAAA